AAAAAGGUGAUAUUGACCUCCUCUAACUUGGUUUUCUCUUUCUCUUUGUCUUUUAUCUUUUCUUUUUUUCAAAAAAAAAUUGCGUUUUGUUAGUUGGAAGCAAAGAGAAUGAAAGAA
rnacentral:ribozyme from 13 species